CUGCUUUUGAGAGUUUCCAGGGAGCCCUGAGCCUCAGAAAAGAUUUCUUUUUAAAGUCUGAUGGAAGUCAUAUGAAGAUGUAUAUCAUCUUUUUGAAUUACAUGAAUACUGGCUGGUGACAGUGCUUAGGCUUACUGUGGCCUUGAUCCAAAGCCAAGCAGAUGUUUAUGAAGAGCUCAGAUAGAAAUAAACUUUGAAGCUCUGAGUCACAUGAGUGAAAUAAAGGUGUGCUAAUGUGCUUCGUCCAGGGAGGACUUCUUAAAUCAUUAGGCCAAAGAAUUUCCCUGGCCCCUCAGUGAGGUCAUCCUGGCAAUCAGAAGGACUGGGCUAACAAGGAUAGCCCUAAACGUGCUUUGCCUUGGAGAGGAAGAACUAGCGAGAAGGAGUGAGAGUGGCAGCGAAGUCACAGGGAAGCAGAAUGGCUGUUGUUGGAACAAAAGGAGAGCAGUACUGCUUUGGUGAUCUUUUUAUGGGAGGGGAGAGAAGGAAUUUCUAAAAAUAGUAAAAUAUGGUCGUCCAGUACUGGCUCUUGUUACCAUCACCCACUUGAGUUCUGCUUUCAAGAUUUAUUAUAUCACUCUUAAAUCUCUUGGAGUCAUUACAAUCUUGCCUUUCAUCUAGUCUGUAUAUAAAUAAUUGAUCAUCAUAAGGAUUGAAAACUGUGGAAAUGAAGACAGCUUAACACAGAUAUUCUUUAUGACAUCAAUUAUAAGGGGAAUCAUUUGAUGAGAACAGAGAAUAUUUCAAAUGGUACAAUAAUGCUGGCUUCUAAAAUUACUUUGUAUUUGAAAUGAAAUGUGUACGCUGAUUGGUUCUGUUGCCAGUUUAUGGAGAAAGUAUAUUAUGGUUCAAUGAAAAAGAUGGUUAAUUAUCUGCACGCAGGGCUUGCUUCACCCCUCCCUGCUUCUCUUCUGCUCUCAUACAACUCUGUUGAAGUAGCUGCGUACAAGUGGAGUAAUGCAGUGGUGAAUCAGGCCUGUGUUUUGUGACGCGUGGCUUGGAUCAGUAUUCAAACCACUGAGGGAAGCACAAGCAAGGUGUAGAAGUAUUCAUGGCAUGCUAGGAAGAGCUCCUGGUUGUCUGGAGUGCUCAUCUUGAGCUGCCAGGAGCACAAUGAACGUGUGCAGGGCAACAGUGCCAUCUUAUAUAACGUGUCCGUGGAAGGAGGAGUGUGUCAAACUGCUUUAAUCUGUAUGAACAAGUGGUAGUGACUCCUGUAAUGGGGGCUGAAACAAAAUUAAUCUCAAGU
ensembl:lncRNA